GACGAACGCUGGCGGCGUGCUUAUCACAUGCAAGUCGAACGGAAAGGCCCUUCUUUUGUGGGGUGCUCGAGUGGCGAACGGGUGAGUAACACGUGAGUAACCUGCCCUUGACUUUGGGAUAACUUCAGGAAACUGGGGCUAAUACCGGAUAGGAGCUCCUGCUGCAUGGUGGGGGUUGGAAAGUUUCGGCGGUUGGGGAUGGACUCGCGGCUUAUCAGCUUGUUGGUGGGGUAGUGGCUUACCAAGGCUUUGACGGGUAGCCGGCCUGAGAGGGUGACCGGCCACAUUGGGACUGAGAUACGGCCCAGACUCCUACGGGAGGCAGCAGUGGGGAAUAUUGCACAAUGGGCGGAAGCCUGAUGCAGCAACGCCGCGUGCGGGAUGACGGCCUUCGGGUUGUAAACCGCUUUCGCCUGUGACGAAGCGUGAGUGACGGUAAUGGGUAAAGAAGCACCGGCUAACUACGUG
rnacentral:rRNA from 1 species